UACGUAGGGUGCGAGCGUUGUCCGGAAUUACUGGGCGUAAAGAGCUCGUAGGUGGUUUGUCGCGUUGUCCGUGAAAACUCACAGCUCAACUGUGGGCGUGCGGGCGAUACGGGCAGACUGGAGUACUGCAGGGGAGACUGGAAUUCCUGGUGUAGCGGUGAAAUGCGCAGAUAUCAGGAGGAACACCGGUGGCGAAGGCGGGUCUCUGGGCCGAUACUGACGCUGAGGAGCGAAAGCCAGGGGAGCGAACGGG
rnacentral:rRNA from 1 species